GCGAGAGUGGCGGAAUCGGCAGACGCGCACGUUUGAGGGGCGUGUGGGAACUCCCAUACGGGUUCAAGUCCCGUCUCUCGCACCA
rnacentral:tRNA from 1 species